GUUUAGAACGUCGUGAGACAGUUCGGUCCCUAUCUGCCGUGGACGUUUGAGAUUUGAGAGGGGCUGCUCCUAGUACGAGAGGACCGGAGUGGACGAACCUCUGGUGUUCCGGUUGUCACGCCAGUGGCAUUGCCGGGUAGCUAUGUUCGGAAGAGAUAACCGCUGAAAGCAUCUAAGCGGGAAACUUGCCUCAAGAUGAGAUCUCACUGGAGCCUUGAGCUCCCUGAAGGGCCGUCGAAGACUACGACGUUGAUAGGUUGGGUGUGUAAGCGCUGUGAGGCGUUGAGCUAACCAAUACUAAUUGCCCGUGAGGCUUGACCAU
rnacentral:rRNA from 1 species